rnacentral:rRNA from 1 species
UACAGAGGUCUCAAGCGUUUGUUCGGAUUCAUUGGGCGUAAAGGGUGUGUAGGUGGCGCCGUAAGUCGGGUGUGAAAUUUCGGAGCUUAACUCCGAAACUGCAUUCGAUACUGCGGUGCUUGAGGACUGGAGAGGAGACUGGAAUUUACGGUGUAGCAGUGAAAUGCGUAGAUAUCGUAAGGAAGACCAGUGGCGAAGGCGGGUCGUCUGGACAGUUCCUGACGCUGAGGCACGAAGGUCAGGGGAGCAAACGGG